CGGGUAGAGUCUGAUUAAAUUUUAAAUUCGUAAAUAUUUUUUUUGAAAAUUUUUUAUCCUCAACUCUAAAUUGGCAAAAAAACCAAGAAUUUGUAAGCCAUGUUAUGCCAUCUCUCCAUAAAUUGACUCUACCUCCACAACCCAUCUAUUCUUACGCGGCCCCUAGGAUAUGAACUUAAUACUUCGAAGAGUGGACAACAACUUGGUUCUUUCACGCAUUAUAUCAAAGACUAUGAGAGCUGUUCAUGCCCUGGUUAAGGCAACAGCCUCUCCCGCUAAAACAACCGUCGCCACCUCGUCCUCCAGAAAGCUUACCUCCUUCUCCAAUCCACCCUCUCAAAGUCCAUCGGAAAUCCACUUCAUAUCACUUAUUCACUCCUCGAAAACCACUUUCCAACUCCACCAAAUCCACGCACAAAUCCUCCUCCACAAUCUCUCCUCCAGCAGCCUCAUCAGUACCCAGUUGAUCUCUUCGUCAUCUUUACGUAAAUCCGUUGGCUACUCUCUCGCUGUCUUUAACCAUUACCAUCCCAAGAACUCGUUUCUUUUCAAUGCUUUGAUUCGUGGCCUCACGUAUAAUUCCCGUUUUGAGAAUUCCAUCUCCCAUUUUAUUCUCAUGUUGAGGUCGAACUUUAAACCUGACCAGCUCACCUACCCAUAUAUACUUAAGUCUAUUGCUUGUUUGUGUUUACAAUGGCUUGGUAGAUCUCUGCAUGGAAUGAUUUUGAGAUGUGGCUUCGAGUUUGAUUCAUUCGUUAGAAUAGCUAUGGUCGAUAUGUAUGUAAAAGUUGAGGAAUUAGGAUUGGCUCUGAAGCUGUUUGAUGAAAGUCCUCAUAAAUUUAAUACUGAGAGUACAUUGCUGUGGAAUGUUUUGAUUAAUGGGUAUUGUAAGGUUGGGAAUAUGAGUAAGGCUGUGGAGCUCUUUGAGGCCAUGCCAAAGAGGAAUACAGCGUCUUGGAAUUGUUUAAUUAAUGGGUGUUUAAGAGGUGGAGAUUUGGAGAAAGCAAAGGAGCUUUUUGAUCGAAUGCCAGACAAGAAUGUGGUUUCCUGGACUACAAUGGUUAAUGGGUUUUCAAAGAAUGGAGACCAUGAGAAAGCAUUGUCCUUGUUUUCUAAGAUGUUGGAAGAGAGUGUGAAGCCAAAUGAUUUCACCAUUGUUUCAGCUCUCUCUGCAUGUGCAAAGAUUGGUGCCCUUGAAGCAGGACUGAGAAUACAUAGCUAUCUGAAAAAUAAUGGUUUCCGUUUGAAUAGAGUACUCGGAACUGCUUUGGUGGAUAUGUAUGCAAAAUGUGGGAAUAUUGAGUCUGCAAACGAUGUGUUCAGAGAGACAAAAGAUAAGGACAUUCUUACAUGGAGUGUUAUGAUAUGGGGUUGGGCAGUCCAUGGACAUUCUGAGGAAGCAAUUCAGUGUUUCAAACAAAUGAUGCAUGCAGGUAUACAACCGGACGAGGUUGUCUUUCUUGCCAUACUAACUGCAUGCACACAUGCUGGCAAAGUAAAUCUUGGACUUAAUUUCUUCAACAGCAUGAAGUUUGACUACUCUAUCGAGCCCACCAUGAAACAUUAUGCAUUGAUUGUAGAUCUCUUAGGCAGGGCUGGUCUGCUAAAGCAAGCUCUGAGGUUCAUUGAAAGGAUGCCAGUAACUCCAGAUUUUGUGAUAUGGGGAGCACUUUUUUGUGCUUGCAGGGCUCACAAAAAUAUCAAAUUGGCAGAAUUAGCCUCAAAGAAGCUCCUGGAGCUUGAACCUAAGCAUCCUGGGAGCUAUGUCUUCCUAUCAAAUGUUUAUGCUGCUGCAGGCAGAUGGGAAGAUGUAGAGAGAGUGAGAGUUCUGAUGCAGAAUAAAGGCAUAGAGAAAGAUCCAGGAUGGAGUUAUAUAGAGGUGGAGGGUCAAGUUCAUAGUUUUGUAGCUGGUGAUCAUAUUCAUCAGGAUGCGAAAGAUAUCUACUUGAAAUUAGAAGAAAUAGUGGCAGGUGCAAGGGAACAUGGAUACAUGCCUGGAACUGAGUGGGUGCUUCAUAAUAUCGAAGAAGAAGAGAAGGAAGAUGCAUUAGGAAGACAUAGUGAAAAGUUGGCACUUGCUUUUGGCCUUCUUCGUACUUAUCCUGGUAUGACUAUAAGAAUUGUGAAAAAUCUUAGAGUUUGUGGGGAUUGUCAUUCUCUGAUGAAAUAUGCUAGUAAGAUGAGUCAAAGGGAGAUUGUAUUGAGAGAUAUAAAGCGAUUUCAUCAUUUCAAGGGUGGGGUUUGUUCAUGUGGAGAUUACUGGUAGUGCUGUUUGUGAUGCUGAUCUUGUAAAGUAACAUUUCCUGAUAAUUUUUAUACUGUCAUUCUUUUCCUUGAAAUCGCAGCACUAUAAGGUUAUUCUGUUUAGUGGUUAAUGGAUUAUCUUAGUAAAGAAAAAGGGGACAGAAUGGACAUUUAAUCAUCAGAUACUGAUUCUUGGAGAUUGAUAAACGUUCAUAAUCCUGAGGAUGAAUUUUUCAUUUUUGCCGGCAUUAUUGCUAUAGCACUGUUCAUUGGCCCUUGUCGAACAACCAGCGAAUUUCAUUUUAUUUUAGUGAUGAAGAGGAAUUGUUAAAGAUGUCUCAGUACAAGCUAUUUAAAGAGGACCCUUUAGUGAAUCCUAGAAGUGAUUUGCACACAAAGAGAAGACUUCUGAGGCAGCAAAAACAAUCAGUCUGGAGGUUCCAAAGCCACCAAUGGAUGUAGAGGAGCUUGCUGAUGCGAGAACCAGGUGCAACGGCUGUCCCCUGCUAAAUUGAUCUUGAAUUUUCUUCUUCUUCCUUUUUUUUUUUGGGAUAAUUUGAUCAUGAAUAAUUACCACCUUCUGAAAUCUCUCUCUGUCUCUUUUUUCAUAAAUCUGCUCUUGAUGAUGACCUCUAGUUUUCUUUAUUCUCUUUUAUUUGUUCUUUUAUGAAAUGUAAUUCGACUUGCAUUAAACAGGAUAGAGUUGGUUCACCGAAAUUGAGUUCUGGAGCUAUGCAUUUUUGAGAAAAUUGAAGAUUGAGUUCAAAUAAUGUUCAUGUGCUGAAACAUGUAUUCUUUUUCCUUAGGAAAUUACAAAGUUUUUUCAGAGUUGUAAGGUUAAUCUUUUUGGCGAGUUUAUUAGAUUGAUUAGCCAUUUAUGAAUUUGUAUAUUGUUGAAACUUGUAAUUGGAGCAGCACUACUGAGUGUAUGUAAGCUGUGUGUCACAAUA